AGAGCGAACGCUGGCGGCAGGCUUAACACAUGCAAGUCGAGCGGGCGUAGCAAUACGUCAGCGGCAGACGGGUGAGUAACGCGUGGGAACGUACCUUUGGUUCGGAACAACACAGGGAAACUUGUGCUAAUACCGGAUAAGCCCUUACGGGGAAAGAUUUAUCGCCGAAAGAUCGGCCCGCGUCUGAUUAGCUAGUUGGUGAGGUAACGGCUCACCAAGGCGACGAUCAGUAGCUGGUCUGAGAGGAUGAUCAGCCACAUUGGGACUGAGACACGGCCCAAACUCCUACGGGAGGCAGCAGUGGGGAAUAUUGGACAAUGGGCGCAAGCCUGAUCCAGCCAUGCCGCGUGAGUGAUGAAGGCCCUAGGGUUGUAAAGCUCUUUUGUGCGGGAAGAUAAUGACGGUACCGCAAGAAUAAGCCCCGGCUAACUUCGUGCUAGCAGCCGC
rnacentral:rRNA from 1 species